UCUGUAAGAGAUUUACGUAUAAUUGAAGAAAGCAAACAGUAAAUUGUUUCAAUUUCUUUAUAUUGCGACAUUGGAAACAAUGAACCCAAAUCAUGUACAAGCACAAGAUUCCAAACAACCAACUUCGACCCAAAUGAUCUUCUAUUGAGGAAUAUAUUAGACCACAAAAAUACGAGUAUGAAACCAUUUGAAUUUUUCCAUCAUUUGGAAAAAAAUAAAUUGAAAGUUUUUCAAACGUUUAACAAUUCUAUAGUUUAUCCAUCGUAACCCUUUCCAAGCUGACACUAAUAAAGUUAUUUACACCAGAAAAUUCCGAUACACAUAUCGAGGGACCAUACAAAAUUAGUCAUUGGCGCCGGCGGUAAGAAACGAAAGCGGACGUGACGCAUUCUUUCCGGGAAAUAAGAAGUGCGUUCAAGAUUCGGGAGCGUUCGAGAAAUAUGGGUGUUUGCUAAAUCAGCAAACCGAAUAUUGUGCUUCAGUCAGUUGUAACAUCGAUUGGAAGUGAAGUAGAACAGCUAUAGUGAUACCGAAGAGCAGAAAGUAUGAAGUACUACGCCAGAUGCACGAUGGCAUAUUUGGAGGACAUCUAGGAGUGACGAGAACGAUUCUAUUGGUUGAAUUGCACACAUCAAACAAGAUGUGAAGGAAUGAUGCAGAAAAUGUCCAUUUUGUGUCACAAGCAACAAGGAAAGAAGAAGGCGACAAUGAUGGGUAUAGUCCGUUUGAAAGAAUAGCCAUUGAUAUGGCGGGCCCUUCCCAGAGACAGCUGCUGGAAAUAAAUACAUCUUGGUGCUCAUAGACUACUUCAGCAAAUGGACAGCGAAGCAUAUAUGCUCAACCAAAUCAAGAAGGGACAACUGUGCCAGACAUUCUGGUAAAAACAACUUACCCUUGGAACUACAUUCUGACCAGGGACGAAAUUUUGAGUCGGCACUAUUCCAAAGUCUGUGCCAAUUAUUGGGCAUUCGCAAGACCAAAAUGACUGCUUUGCCCCACAGUCAGACGAGAUGGUAGAACGCAUGAAUAUAACAAGGAUGACAAGAUGUUCCCAGGGAUGGCCGUAAAAUUCCAAUUCCGGUUUGGGCACUUACAAAAAGUUUACAUUCACCAUCCCAAGGUGGGUAGAGUGAAUUUCCUACAGGAGUAGGGACGAUUCCUUUAUUAUCUGGUAACAAAAGACCGCAAUCAAGGUCGCGCCAUAAAACAAGAGUCGCCUGGGACUGCGGCUCUGCUACAACCGUCGUCUGUGUUGCGAGACACAACAGUUUUAAGCGGUAGGCAGUGUAGUGAAUAUUCUAGAAAUCCAGAUGGAGAUGUAGGUACCAUAAAAGAUUAGUUAUCGGCGAUAAGAAACGAAAGAGGAUGUUACGCACACUGUCUGAGAAAGAAAACGUGUUUAUUCAAGAACAUUCUAGAAGAUUCGGGAGCAUUUGAGAAGUUUCGAGAAAUAUGGGCGUUUGCUAUGUAAGCAAAUCGAACUGUGCGUCAGUCAGUUGUAAUACCAAUGCCAAUUGAAGUAUUACGCUAGUAAACAAAGCAUGCGCCAGAAUUAGUCAUUAGAUUUUUAUCGAAGAAACCAAUGCAAUAAUCAAAUAUUUUUUGUAUAAAAUAAUACUUUAUUUGUUUUUGUACAGUAUCUAAAAUUUCACUUGCACAUCAAGUGACCGUCCACAUUCACAUCAAUAAAAAAAUUAAGUUAAAAUUAAAAUGGCCUAUUUUAAAUAGACCACAAUCAAUACUUAAUUAUACUAACCUUCACGUUAGCAAAUGGUUGUACGUAAAUUUACAAAUUGAUUUAUCCUUUAGAUACUCCCAAUAAAAAUUUAAUUUAUUGCUUUUUUAGAGUGCUUUCUAGUUGCAUGGCGAUAGCUUCUAA